GGAAAAUCCCAUGGACAGAGAAGCCUGGCAGGCUACAGUCCAUAGGAUCAUAAAGAGUCAGACACGAAUGAGCGACUAAACACGCACACACGACCAACUUCCAUUCCAGAGAAUGGAAUGGAAGAUUUUAGGUAGAGUUCAUUAUUCUCUUGUGUCCCUUGGCUAGUGAGAUAACAAAACUGCUAUUCAUGUUGGCCACUUGUUUACCUAUAGAGAAAAGGGCACAUCUUAGGUAAACAGAAACCUCUACUCAAAAACAAAGGAAAAAAAUUUUGACUCAUCACUUUGAGUAGAGUCUUACAAUGGCCAACUUUUAAUAUGUAUGACUCAAAAAGAGCAAAUACAUGUUUCAGAAGAAGAAUGAGACAUCCUCCAGUCCUUUGGCAGGUCUUGGUCACAAAUAUAUAUGAAUUAUAUUCCUACUUUAUAUGCAAAGUGUUCAAUGGAUGGUCAUCUGAAUCUCCACCUCUCUUUCUCUCAUUUUCUUUUAAAAUAGAAAGAACUUUUGUUACUUCAAAUGAAAAGACACUUAUGGCAACUGGGAGAAGGAAGCUGGACAGUGUGACAGUAGUUAUAGAUGUUCUCAGUAUUCCAGAAUCCAAAUACCAUGGAACUUUAAAAUAA
rnacentral:lncRNA from 1 species